AGUCGAACGAGAGAUGAGGAGCUUGCUCUUCAAAUCGAGUGGCGAACGGGUGAGUAACGCGUGAGGAACCUGCCUCAAAGAGGGGGACAACAGUUGGAAACGACUGCUAAUACCGCAUAAGCCCACAGCUCGGCAUCGAGCAGAGGGAAAAGGAGUAAUCCGCUUUGAGAUGGCCUCGCGUCCGAUUAGCUAGUUGGUGAGGUAAUGGCCCACCAAGGCGACGAUCGGUAGCCGGACUGAGAGGUUGAACGGCCACAUUGGGACUGAGACACGGCCCAGACUCCUAUGGGAGGCAGCAGUGGGGAAUAUUGCACAAUGGGGGAAACCCUGAUGCAGCGACGCCGCGUGGAGGAAGAAGGUCUUCGGAUUGUAAACUCCUGUUGUUGAGGAAGAUAAUGACGGUACUCAACAAGGAAGUGACGGCUAACUACGUGCCAGCAGCCGCGGUAAAACGUAGGUCACAAGCGUUGUCCGGAAUUACUGGGUGUAAAGGGAGCGCAGGCGGGAGAACAAGUUGGAAGUGAAAUCCAUGGGCUCAACCCAUGAACUGCUUUCAAAACUGUUUUUCUUGAGUAGUGCAGAGGUAGGCGGAAUUCCCGGUGUAGCGGUGGAAUGCGUAGAUAUCGGGAGGAACACCAGUGGCGAAGGCGGCCUACUGGGCACCAACUGACGCUGAGGCUCGAAAGUGUGGGUAGCAAACAGGAUUAGAUACCCUGGUAGUCCACACCGUAAACGAUGAUUACUAGGUGUUGGAGGAUUGACCCCUUCAGUGCCGCAGUUAACACAAUAAGUAAUCCACCUGGGGAGUACGACCGCAAGGUUGAAACUCAAAGGAAUUGACGGGG
rnacentral:rRNA from 1 species